rnacentral:tRNA from 1 species
AGCUCAGCAGGUAGAGCAGCUCACUCGUAAUGAGCAGGUCAGCGGUUCGAGUCCGCUCGUCG